rnacentral:rRNA from 1 species
UUCCUACGGGGGGCAGCAGUAGGGAAUCUUCCACAAUGGGCGAAAGCCUGAUGGAGCAACGCCGCGAGGGUGAAGAAGGUCUUCGGAUCGUCCCCCCCUGUUGUUCGCGAAGCCCGUGCGUGCGAGUAACUGUUCACGUUUCGACGGUAUCUAACCAGAAAGCCACGGCUACCUACGUGCCAGCAGCCGCGGUAAUACGUCGGUGGCAAGCGUUCUCCGGCUUUCUUGGGCGUCCCGGGCCCGCCGGCGGUCUUUUCCGUCUGCUG